UACGAAGGGGGCUAGCGUUGCUCGGAAUUACUGGGCGUAAAGGGCGUGCAGGCGGUGCGGUAAGUUUAGCGUGACAGUCUCCGGCUUAACUGGAGAAGGCCGCUGAAAACUGCUGGACUUGAGGGCCAGAGAGGGACAUAGAAUUCCGGGUGGAGUGGUGAAAUGCGUAGAUAUCCGGAGGAAUACCAAAGGCGAAGGCAGUGUCCUGGCUGGCAACUGACGCUGAGGCGCGAAAGCUAGGGGAGCGAACAGG
rnacentral:rRNA from 1 species